AAUCAUGACAAUAAUUUAGUGAAUAAACAUGAUAAAUAUUGAUUGGAAAAAUAAGUCCAUGAACAGCAAAAGGUGUUUUUAGAUUUCAACGAGCAAAACAAAAGUAUUCUAAAUCAUUCUUCGUAAAAAAAAGGUGAGCGAGUGGAACCACCUUGCUCGCACCAAAAUUGAGAUUGAGAGUGUCAAAACUGCUCUGGCGCACCAUCAAUAAAUCAACGACACUCUCUCUACCGUGGUAUUGAAACCAGCAUUGGUAACCAAACAUAUUCAUACAGAUACAGACUACCAUUCAUGUACAUUUAGGAAGUCUGAAUAAUACUGAAAACUGGUGUAGAAUUUCCAACAGGACUCCUUAUUUUAUAUAAGACAAGGAGUGGUUUAUUUUCCCAUGGUUGUUACAUCAUCUUGUCUUUGAAUAUGCUCGAAGUACAGGGACUUUUAUGGAAUUCAUUGACAUGAUAGUCAAGCAAGAUGUCAACAUCUCGUCCAACCCUCUUCCAGCAAAGCCAAAGCUGACCAAGGAUCUUCACCCUUUCAAAACAGGCUGUAUACAGGACGAGUUAUUCCAGUAGGAACAGGGCUAUAUAUAUAUGCAAGCAAUGCUCAAUUAAGAUGAAUUUUUGUAAAAGUGACAAUAGCCAGGUCAAACUAAAUACAUGUAUAGAAGAAGAUAUUGAUCUAGACUCGCAGCUAACCUUUCUGUCAGUGUCAACAACAACUGAACUUUCACAGCAGUCAACAUCAGAUUGGGAGACUGAUAAUGCUUCUAACAGAAACAAUUUCAACCAACCAAACAAGCAACAGAAACUUUCCAACUUUAAAACAACAGUUAAAUCUUCCAUGGGAUGAUGUCUCAAAAAAUAACAGUUCAUCAUUCA